CAGCCCACUCUCAUUAGCACAGUGUCUCUCCAGCGAGAGCCUUUCAAAGGGCAGGGAUCGCUGCCGCCGCAACAAAGCCACCAACACGAGAACUAUCAAAAUCCGAGGAAAGAGUGAAAAAGGACUGACCUCCCGCCGGCCCAUAAGCCAGCCCCUCCCCCGCCCAAAAAGAAGAACAGCGACAUGAAGGGACACUUGACCUCCGACGACAUUCAGGUGGUUCAUCUCGACAAGGAUGAGGAAAUGCAGAAGAUUCCUCUCCAGCCUCCGUAUUACGACAUGGCACCCUCUGAGUCCACCCCCUUCACUGAUAAGCCGAACUCUGGCCACAAGGACUGUGAUGUCCAGUAUGCGGAGCUGGAUACUGCAGCUUUGGCCUCCUCUCCCAGCCCACGAAGCUCUGCUCUCACUGGCCCUGGGGACCUUGUCGAGUAUGCAACCAUCCAGCCUAGCUCACACUAGCGCAUGCCAAUAUAGGCCUUUCCCCCCUCAGAACUUUGGCUUCAAGGACUCUGGGGGGCGUCCAGAAGAGCUGUUAAAUCCUGCUGAAUACAUGAGCUACCAGCACGUCUGCAACAUGGAACCCCAGCCUGAGUCCCAGCCUGCCCCGGCCUACCAACCCGUCUCUUUCCUGCCCCAGCACCCCUACGCCCAGCAGCCAACCAAUGAGCCCACGUACUCAAACACCAGUUUUCCCGCCCACGGCCAGCGAGGUGCUUUAACUUUCCCAAAGGAGCAGUCGGCGUAGCGUGUCUGCUGACUCAUUGUCUCAGCGAAAGGCGACAGCGAUAGCGCCACCAAGCUGAACAAACGUGCACCCCCCAUCCAUUCCCUUUUGUGUCCGUUUGAUCGAUAAGCUAAAACCACACGUGGGCUUCCUGGUAAUGACCCUCUGUGUAUCUUGUGCUGCCUGCUCCAUUGACCCUGUAGCACCUUGUGAUAUUAGCAUAGCAUCCACCGACUCCUAGUUACUCCUGCACCUCAUCACCCUGUUUGCUUUGAAUGCUUCCUUCACCAAUUUUUUAGCUUUUUUUCCAACUGUUUAAUCAUGUACAGAAUAUGCCAAUGUAUCACUUUAAGACUUUGUUUUCCUUUAUUUCUACUUUUCUCAUAGUGAGUGCUCGUGACCUUUAAACUUUAGUUUGCUUUUUGCUUGCUUCUUCUUCUACUAUUUGUGUAAUCAGGUGUUUUUUAGUGGGGAAAAAAAAGGAAAAACGCCAUUUAAUUUGUGUUACUAAUUAUCAAUCUGUAAUGACAUUGACUUACCCCUUCAAUGACGGUAAAUGCGAUGACAGGGUUGUUAUGCAAUGAUGGGAAUUGGCAGAGUUUCAACUCAAUCCUUCAUUAGCCUUCGUAAACAACACCGCUGAAGUUUGACGGACUAUUGUGGACAAUUAAGAAAAUGUUACGCUCAUUAAGCUACAAGGAACAUCUAAGGGCUUGAGAUCACACGGUAUCUAAUUACUUCUCAUUCUCGGUUUAGCUCCACCAUCUAUUCAGUUUGUUGUGUUUUUCUUUGUAUUAUCUACCGGUAGUUGCCAAAGAAAUAGUUCCACAUGGUUGUCAUCCGUUUAUGGUACUUCGAUGCCAGUGUUUACACUAAAAAAAUUCUUGCUUGAUGUGAAAUUAGCACUGAAGAUAUAAAACAUGCAACGCUUUGCCAGUUUACGUUAUCAUCUUGUACCAUCCGCUGUACGCCCCACAGCCGUUUCUAGCUUUGUGGGUGCCCUGUGCAAGAUGCUUGGUUUGGUAGGGGCCCCGAGUCCUUUUUCCCUAAACAGCUCACUUGUCCCAGCCCCUCCUCCCCCCACCCCCCCUCCAUCAUUCUCUGCCUGCUAACGCACACACUACAAUCACUACAUUUACUUUUAAACAUAUUACGGAUCGAGACAAUUUCAUUUUCCUCAGAAGAAAAGAAGACUUUUGGGCCCAUUAAGGGUGCAAUUCCAAUUGCCAGAAACACCUGUGGUUAAUGUGAAAGCAAACAGUGGUUGUUUGUCCUUUUGUUUUUGAUGCAGGGUUGUAGUUUUCUUAAUACAGGUAAAGGUGAAGACAAUCAUAAGCUUGGGUUGUCCUGAGAAAAAAAAAAAAAAGAAGCUUUUCUUUUUUUUUUUUAAAUAAAAUAAAAAAAUGGAAAAAAGCUGGUCCA
rnacentral:lncRNA from 1 species